CGGCUCUUUGGCCCUUUGCGUGUGGCUCUUCCACAGAAUACCAUGGCCUGGGCGAGUCUGUGUUGAAGAAGUGGCGUUAGAAGAAGUUUAAGUUUAAAAAAUGUGGCUCUCCAUAGAAACUUUAAUCGUUGUGCUGUUUAUAUUUAGCUCCGUUGACUAAUGAGUUUGCCGACCACUGGUCUAGCCUGUGUGAGAUGAGCACCUCUGGCCAG